rnacentral:rRNA from 1 species
AUAGCCCAGGGAAACCUGGAUCAAUACCGGAUGCGAGGGCGGCCGCACAAGCGGCCGUCGGGAAAGGCGCUUCGGCGCCGCCGGGGGAUGGGUCCGCGUCCCAUUAGGCGUAGACGGUGGGGUAAACGGCCCACCGUGGCGAUGAUGGGUAGCCGGCCUGAGAGGGUGACGGCCACAUUGGAACUGAGACACGGUCCAGACUCCUACGGGAGGCAGCAGCUAAGAAUCUUCCGCAAUGGGCGAAAGCCUGACGGAGCGACGCCCCGCGUGAACGAAGAAGGCCGUGAGGUUGUAAAGUUCUUUUCGGGAGGGGGAACGAGGCUGCCAGGCAAUGGGCGGCCGAUGACGUGAAUCCCGGAAUAAGCCCCGGCUAACUACGUGCCAGCCGCCGC